rnacentral:sRNA from 1 species
AUUUUUGAAAAUGACCCAUAUGUGUAUGACAUAUCAGAAUCUGAUAUGUCAUACACAUAUGGGUCAUUUUGAGAAU